rnacentral:rRNA from 1 species
AGUGAACGCUGGCGGUAGGCCUAACACAUGCAAGUCGAACGGCAGCACAGUAAGAGCUUGCUCUUACGGGUGGCGAGUGGCGGACGGGUGAGGAAUACAUCGGAAUCUACUUUUUCGUGGGGGAUAACGUAGGGAAACUUACGCUAAUACCGCAUACGACCUACGGGUGAAAGCAGGGGAUCUUCGGACCUUGCGCGAUUGAAUGAGCCGGUGUCGGAUUAGCUAGUUGGCGGGGUAAAGGCCCACCAAGGCGACGAUCCGUAGCUGGUCUGAGAGGAUGAUCCACCACCUGGAAACUAGGACCCGUUCCCGCCGCCUCCGGGGGGCACCGGUGGGGAAUUUGUGCAACGGGGCGAAAGCUGAUUCCAGCCCUGCCGGGGGGGUAAAGAAGGCCUUCGGGUUUUAAAGCCCUUUUGUUGGGAAAAAAAGUAACCAGAUUAAUCCCCGGCUUUUCUGGGGGUACCAAAAGAAAAACCCCCGGCGAACUUCGU